CAGACAAAGCGAUUAAGGGGGUCAUUCGAUUAAAGCGACCCCCGUGCGCAACUGGAACUUAAUUUAUCGACGACGAAAGGAUGAAAGGCAAAGUCGACCUGGGAAGAAUUUGAACUCAGAACGUAAAGACAGACGAAAUACCGCUAAGCAUUUCGCCCGGCUGUCUAACGU